rnacentral:rRNA from 1 species
AUGGGGCUCUGGAACUACGGCCGCAAUGGCAAGCACGACCGCGAGGCUGGCUCCUCGUCGAGGCGUUGCCGCGGCUCGGUGAAGAAGGAGGAGCCGGCCUCGCCAUCGCCACCACGCCGGGCCCCCUCGCCGCCCGCGUUCUCCAUCGCCCCCGCGUCCGCCGGCGAGCGCGACCGGCACUACAUCCGCGCUGAGGUGUGCCGCCGUUAUUGGGAGACGAGGACGCCGAUCCCCUGGAGCGACGCCCACCUCCCCAACAACUGGCAUUUGUCGGCCGACCACGUGCCGAUCCCGCCGGUCCCGGUGACCGGCCGUGCGCGCCGCCAGGAGAUCGAGUGCCGCCGCCGCCUCCUCCCGGACGACCCCUACUACGAUCCCAGGUACGCCCCCGACUCGCCAUUGUGGGACACCUGGUUCCGCGAUGAGCACGACGCGCGGCGGGCGUCCUAUUUCGCCGGCACGUCGACGGGGCCACGGCGGCCACGCCCAGAUGGCCGAGCGGCCGCUCCCCAGGAGCGCGGGCGUAGGGUGGUGCGCGGCCUCACGCCCACGCCGUCGCCGUCUCCAUCGCCACCACCACCUCCUCGCAUGACGGCGGAGGAGGAAGCCCGUCUCGUGCAGCGUGUCAUGGAGGACUCCAUGCGCACGCACGACGAGCGGCAAUGGGAUGGCUUGGAGGAGGCCAUGGCACUGUCUGCCGCCGGCGACGUGGCCUUCCCGGAGCUGCAGAUGGCGGCCUUGACGGAGGAGAGGAGGGAGGACGCCAUGGAGGAGGAGCCGGCGGCCGCCUUCCAGCAGCUGGUGGGCGCUGGGUGGGCCUGGUCCUGCACUGCUCCGGAGAUGGCCGCCAGCCUGGGCGUGGACUGGCGUGCCACUCCGACGCAGUCACCGGAGCGGGAGGGGUCGCCACGGGAGGAGGUGUUGCAGGCACCUCGCGCCGUCCAGCCCGCACCCGUCUACCAGGCACCGCACGCACCGCCGGCCCACCUGUGGACGCCGCCGGCCUAUGUCGACCUCGUCAGCGACGACGACGACACCGGCGGCCAGUGA